UUGCGGUUUAGCCUGGCCGGUGAAGCAACGCCCCUCUCAGGAGGCCGUGCCUCUCCCCGGGCUCCGCCUCCGGGCCAGGGAAGCCCGCCCACUGCCCUGUCUCGGGGACUCUCGCCCCUCCUGGCUGGUUGAGGGACUCCCUGGUGGUCUGCGAGACCCUUCCCUAUUACGGAGCGACUCCGCUCCCAUUUCUGGGGUUCCAAAGACCCUGACGUCCUCACCUUACAGUACAGAUGAAGAAACUGAGGCCCAGUGAGGGGGAAAAUCUUGCCCAGGUCACACAGUCAGCCACCAGCUAGUCCAUGAAGUCUUGGAUGUAUGAGUGGCUGGAGAAGCCAUAGAAUUUCUGUGCCUAAAAAUGUAUCCCAGUGCAUGCCUGCAAUUUCAGCACUCUGGGAGGCUAAGGCAAGAGGAUUGCAAGUUCAAGCCCAGCCUGAGCAUAUU